AAUCUAUACAACUUUCAGCAACGGAUCUCUUGGCUCUCGCAUCGAUGAAGAACGCAGCGAAAUGCGAUAAGUAAUGUGAAUUGCAGAAUUCAGUGAAUCAUCGAAUCUUUGAACGCACCUUGCGCUCCUUGGUAUUCCGAGGAGCAUGCCUGUUUGAGUGUCAUUAAUAUAUCAACCUCUUCAACUUGCUUGUUGAGUGUUUGGAUGGUUGGGGGGUCAUUUUUUGCUGGUCUCUUUCCUGAAGUCAGCUCCCCUGAAAUGCAUUAGCAGAACAAUUUGUGGACCCGUUCAUUGGUGUGAUAAAUAUCUACGCUAUUGACGUUAAGCAGUUCAGCUUCUAACAGUUCAUUGACUGGACAAUAUCAU
rnacentral:rRNA from 1 species